rnacentral:tRNA from 1 species
UUUCUUGUAGUUGAAGUACAACGGUAGUUUUUCAGGCUGUUGGUCUAGGUGAAAAUCUUAGUUGGAAUA